rnacentral:lncRNA from 1 species
AAACUUUUCUAUAGUUGUAUUUUCUUUCAUUAGGCUUACGACUUAAUAACUUAUGACAGUCUAACUUUAUUAUUUUCUAGAGUUAGGGUUUUCUUCAACUUUUAUUUUAAAUCAUAACUUAUGUUGAUUGCAAGGGGAACACACUUCACCACGAUGAUGAUACUGAAGAACAUCAUGAAGACAACACCAGUGUUAAGAUGGUUUCAGAAGGGAAUCAUGAACCAGCUAAGCAUUUGAUUGUUCUGACUCAUGUUUUUGUAUCAAUACAACUAUGAAUCUCUUCUAGUCUCUACAUUAUUAUUUUGAUUAUGAUGGUGUAAUU